rnacentral:tRNA from 1 species
GCCGUGGUGCUGGAAUCGGCAGACAGGCACGCUUCAGGAGCGUGUGCCAUUUUUGGCGUGCGAGUUCGACUCUCGCCCACGGCA